GGGCUCAAUUUGGCAGCAUAUAUACUAAAAUUGGAACGAUACAUAGAAGAUUAGCAUGGCCCCUGCACGAGGAUGACACACAAAUUCGUGAAGCGUUCCAUAUUUUU
rnacentral:snRNA from 1 species